rnacentral:lncRNA from 1 species
CGCAGUUGAGAUAAGGACAGGGAGAUCACUCAACAGUUAUUGUCAUGGGCAAAACUGACUCAGCAUAGGAAGAUUUAUGCAAUUCAUGGCCUAUCACUACUGGAUUACAACAGUGAGAAACUAAAAACAAAUUUAAAAAACCUUCCUCCCCAACCACCGUCUUCUCUGCCCUCCCCUGAGCGGCACAGGGAAACGGGGAAUGGAGCCUGCAGUCAGUCCCUGACUCCUUCGCAGUCACUCUGUGCCCCUGCUCCACGCGGGGUCCCUCCCACAGGAUGCCGUCCUUCCCAAACUGAGCCUGCGGGGGCUGCCCACAGGCAGCAGCUCUUCAAGAACUGCUCCCACACGGCUCUGCACCAAAGGGUCCAUCCCCCAGGAGCAAACUGCUCCAGCACAGGUCCCCCACGGGUGGCAGCUCCCCCCAGGCCCCCUGCUCCUGCGUGGGCUCCUCUCCAUGGCUGCAGCUCUGGCCUGGGGCCUGCUCCUGCGGGGGCUCUCCACAGGCCGCGGCCUCCUCCAGGCCACAUCCACCUGCUCCACCGGGGGCUCCUCCACGGGCUGCAGCGUGGAGAUCUGCUCCGUGUGGGACCCGUGGGCUGCAGGGGGACAGCCUGCUCCACCAGGGGCCUCUCCCCAGGCCGCAGGGGAACUGCUGCUGUGAGCCUGGAGCACCUCCUGCCUCCUGCUGCACUCACCUUGGGGGCUGCAGGGCUGGUUCUCACUCAUCUCUCUCCCAGUUGUUGUUGGACAGCAGUUUUUUGUUUUGUUUUGUUUUGUUUCCCCCCCUUUCUUAAAUCUGCUCUCACAGAAGUGCAAACAUCACUUACUGGCUCAACUCUGGCCAUCAGUGGGUCCUUUUUGGAGCCAGCAGGAGCUGACUGUGAUCUGACAUGGGGCAGCUUCUGGGCUCUUCUCACAGAGGCCAAAUCUGCAGACCCCUGCUACCAAAACCUUGCCGCAUAAAACCGAGACAGAUUUCCCAGAAUAACAUCCCAUCCUCCCUCUACAGGGCUCAUCCCUUCACCAGUACAGGCAGGUCUUUCUCAGCCACCUCCCUGCAGCUGGAAAAUCUCUCUCCUUGCCAGUGCAGAGUGAUGGCCAGUCCCAGAUAACACACAACAAACCCAACUCUUGGUCCCAAGAUAGAGAAAGAUUU